UGGGCUGUAGCUCAGCGGUGGAGCGCUUGUCUAGCAUGCAAAAGGCAUGGGUUCUAUCCCCAGCACUGCAA
rnacentral:tRNA from 1 species